rnacentral:snoRNA from 1 species
GUGAGGAAAAGUCGGAGUGCUGAGCCGUGACGAAUAGCGGCGAGCUGA